rnacentral:rRNA from 1 species
GCCCCGAGGCAUGGCCUGCGCCCGAUUAGGUGUUUGCGGGUACCCCAGCCCACCCAAAACGCCGCUCGUACGGGCACUGAGAGCUGUAGCCCGGAGAUGGGGACUGAGACAAGGCCCCCAGCCCCUACGGGGGGCAGCAGGCGCGAAACCUUCACAACUACACGAAACGUGUGAUGAGGGUACUCCGAGUGCGCCAUCCAUGUAUGUGCUUUUCUGCAGCGUAAAUAGUUGCAGGAAUAAGGGCUGGCCAAGACCGGUGCCCAGCCGCCGCGCGUACCACCGGCAGCCCUAGUGGUGGCCGCUUUUAUUGGGCCUAAAGCGUCCGUAGCCGGCCAGGCAAGUCUUUGGGUAAAUCCUACGUCUUAAGCGUGGGAAUUCUAAAGAUACUCCCUGUCUUGAGGCCGGGAGAGGCUGGAGGUACUCCUGGGGUAGGGGUAAAAUCCUAUAAUCCUGGGGGGACCACCGCUGGCGAAGGCAUCCAGCUGGAACGGCCCUGACGGUGAGGGACGAAACCCAGGGGAGCGAGCCGGAUUAGAUACCCGGGUAGUCCUGGGCGUAAAUGAUGUGGGCUUGGUGUGAGCGCAUCGACGAGGUGCGCUUGUGCCGUAGGGAAGCCGUUAAGCCCACCGCCUGGGGAGUACGGUCGCAAGGCUGAAACUUAAAGGAAUUGGCGGGGGAGCACUACAAGGGGUGGAGGCUGCGGUUUAAUUGGAUUCAACGCCGG